UCAUGAUCUCUGGAGAAGGCAGGAAACAUGGCAAGGAAGCAAUUGCAGGAGGCAUGUUCCCUAGUUCCUCCCGUACCUCUCUCCCUGAAUACAAAGCUCGGUUAGGUAUCUCAAAAUCUUCUACAUGUAAACGCUCGACUCCAGCUAUGGUUGAGAUGGAGGUAUUCUAUACAAGUCCUUCUAUAUAUGUUUGUUUCUUACUUACUGUUGGAUUGAAGAUGCGAUUGCCAUGCCAUAUUUUGCAGGCCCGACUGGCGGAGUUGAGGCGAGUGGCGGCGGAGGAGAGGGUGGAGGAGAGGCGACUGGCUGAUGAGAGGACGCAGCAAGCGGUGCAGCAGGCGAUGUUGGCACAAACUAGUCAAUGCUUUGCAAUGUUUGCGGCUUAUUGUACCCAGAAUGGUAUGCCCGCUAUGACGAUGCCUCAUCAAUCAGGCCAUGGAUCUAAUACUGAUGGAUCUUCACAUGCACGAGGCCCAAGCGACAACAACCUUGGUGGUUCUCCGAAUGUAUGAGAUCGAGUAUGGUUGGUGGUUCUUUUGUCUGUUUGGCAUAUUGAUGAUUUCAAGCACGUUAUUUGUUCUUGUGCCAAAACGUGACGGUCACCAUUCAAUCUUGUAUGCUAUGGAACUUUGUCCCGGGACUAUAUGCUAUGGAACUUUGUUCAUUGUUGCUUAUAUUUGCUAUGGAACUAUAUGCUGUCCUGUUAUGGUUCUGUGCUGUGAGGAUCUUUGGUUAUGGAUCAAGGCAAUUACUAUAUUGUGUAUUAAA